rnacentral:lncRNA from 1 species
GUUUUAUGCUAAAUAUGAGAAUUCUAAAGUAAUAUUGUGGUCACCAAUUUAAAAAUAUUACAGCUUAAGUCAAAAUUAUUUUUAGUAGCUUUAUUUACAAAGAGGUGGAAAAAGUGAAAGUGGAAAAAUAUAAAGAGACAGAAAGUACUGCAUAGCUACAAAUACCCUACGUUUAAUCCUAAUGUUUCCAGACUGCAAAUGUGAAUCUGAAAGUGAAUCUCACCAGAAUCCAAAGUCUUAAUUAGGAAGCCAAAAUCUGAAGAAACAGGAUACGCUGAAGAAUCCACCAAGAACCUUCAGUACACACAAAGCUAAGACCACCAAGAAUCUCAUCAGAUCUCAUGCUGAAGGGUCCCACCAAAGCACCAAGGAGAAGAGAAAGUCUCCUCCCUGAAGAAUCAAGGAAGGAAUCACUCCACUUACCACCACAAGCCAAUUUGGAUCCAGGAAAUGUCUCCUCUUCUAGUCCAGCUCACCAAUGCAAAGUUUUAGGAAGGUGAUUUUGAUCCCAUGCCCUUGCCAUAUCAGCAGUAGCAUCUUACAGUGGACCAAGAUGAUGAUAAGAGAUUUUGCACACAAGUGGGACUGUGCAAAGAUACCAGGAGAAAAGAUGUCUUGCAAUUCUGGAAGUGUGUGCUGCCAUGAUCUUGUUCUUCCUUUUUCAUUUCUUCUUUCUUUCCUAAUAAUAAUAAAAUAAAUGGUUUGAAAAACAUAGGGAGUGUGUGGCCUGAACUUAUAGAGGCAUGUUUUGUUACUACUGUUUAUACAAUGCAUUUUAGUAAAUUGUUUUUCCUUGGAGAAUUGUUUCAAGUAGCUGAAUUUCAAGUAGGAGAAUUCAAUAAUGGGGGCUCACAAGUUAAAGUUUUAGUAGUACAGACACUCACAGGGCCUUAGAUCUAGGAUAGUAAUUCUCCAGGUAACCAACACAAAAAUGAAAGGUUGGGAGGGUAGUUUCAAAGUGAGGGGCACAACAUAUUGAUACUUACAGUUAGGGGGUAUAACAGAGAGAGCUGGAAUUGGAGUCAAGAAAACCUCAUUUUGAAUCUUGCCUCUGACUCUAUCUUGGUGGUGAUGAGCACAUCAUUUAACAUUUCCAUGCCUUGGUUUUAUGGUUAUGUUCCAGGCUUGUCUUUAUUCUAAGAAUCUGGGGGAUUAGAAUAGUUUUUGUGUGUAGUUUCAGAUUAGAUGAAGGAGUUUUUCCUUUAUUAUUAUUCCUUUUGGUGCAUUUUUGGAGUUUUUUUUUUUUCCUGGGGAUGUUUGUAGGUGGUUUGAACUCUCCUAGAUCUUUUUUUUUUUUUGUUAAUGAAUUUUUAAACCCUUUCCUUCCAUCUUAGAAAAAAUACCAUGUAUUGGUUCUAAGGCAGAAGAGAGGUAAGGGCUAGGCAAUGAGGGUCAAGUGACUUGCCUAGGGUCACACAGCUAGGAAGUGUCUGAGGUCAGAUUUGAACCAAGGACCUCCCAUCUCUGGGUCUGCCUCUCAAUUCACCAAGCUACCCAGCUGCUUCUUACCCUAGAUCUUAAAACACCACUGUCUUUCCACAAUUUUCCUCCAUUGAUACAUACUGCAACCCACCUGUGCCUUCUCUUCCUGGGCAAUUCUAAUUCAUGUCCUUCCACAGAUAAUCUAGAGAUUUACCUCUUGGUUGGGUUAUGCCCAUUUGAUAAAUAUGAUACUACUGUAGGAUUUAAUGUCCAAU